rnacentral:lncRNA from 1 species
AUGAGCAAAGCUCACCCUCUGGAUUUAAAAAAAUUUAUGGACAAGAAGUUAUAACUGAAAUUAAAUGGUGGCAGACAUGUCCAAGGAAUAUUGUGGGGAUUUGAUCCCUUUAUGAAUCUUGUGAUAGAUAAAUGUGUGGAGAUGGCAACUAGCGGGCAACAAAACAAUAUUGGAAUGGUGGUAAUGCAAGGAAAUAGUACCAUCAUGUUAGAAGACUUGGAA